GACGAACCGUGCGAACGUUGUUCGGAUUCACUGGGCUUAAAGGGCGCGUAGGCGGGCUUGUAAGUCAGGGGUGAAAUCCUCCGGCUCAACCGGAGAACAGCCUUUGAUACUGCAAGUCUCGAGGGAGAUAGGGGUCUGUGGAACUUCCGGUGGAGCGGUGAAAUGCGUAGAUAUCGGAAGGAACGCCGGUGGCGAAGGCGAGUCCCUGGAAAACUCCUGACACUGAGGCACGAAAGCUAGGGGAGCAAACAGG
rnacentral:rRNA from 1 species